rnacentral:misc_RNA from 1 species
AAUGCUGUACUGCUCGCGGGACUUCGUAAUAAUGUAAAAACCCUAAUAUAUACUUUCACGACUUUCCAGUUACGGACUAUGCGCAAACAGCAAUAACAAACACAUUAAGUUCCUUUAUAAAAUGAUUCACAGCCUCUUCCUUAUAAAUACAACUGGUGAAAUCUUUCUUGAGAAACAUUGGAAAAGUGUGAUUCCUCAUUCUAUUUGUGAUUACUUUUUUGAUGCUCAGAAAAAGGUAUCUGAUCCUAAUGAUGUUCCACCUGUUAUAGUUACUCCUCAUCAUUAUUUGAUAAGCAUCUUUAGAAAUAACAUUUACUUUGUCACUGUAACACAAAGUGAAGUUCCCCCAUUGUUUGUAAUUGAGUUCCUUCACCGUGUUGGAGACACAUUUGUAGACUAUUUUAGUGAUUUUAAUGAACAAGUUAUCAAGGAUCAAAUUGUUGUAGUAUACGAGCUGCUUGAAGAAAUGCUUGAUAAUGGUUUUCCUCUGGCAACUGAGAGUAAUAUUUUAAAAGAACUUAUCAAACCUCCUAAUAUAAUAAACAAAGUUGUUAAUUCUGUCACUGGGAGUACUAAUGUUAGCAAUGAGCUUCCCACUGGUUCUUUAUCAAAUGUUCCAUGGAGAAGGUCAGGAGUCAAAUAUGCAAAUAAUGAGAUUUACUUUGAUAUCACAGAAGAAAUUGAUUGCAUAAUUGAUAAACAGGGUUCGAUUAUAAAUCAAGAGAUAAAUGCAUAUAUUGAUUCAUUUACUAGGCUUUCUGGAAUGCCAGAUCUCACUCUUUCACUAAUCAAUCCUCGCUUGCUUGAUGAUGUUAGUUUUCAUCCAUGUAUACGAUUAAAAAGAUGGGAGAACGAGCGUCUUUUAUCAUUUAUUCCACCUGAUGGACAGUUUAGACUUCUUUCUUAUCACAUCACUGGGGGACAAAUUCAGUUACCAGUUAAUGUGAGGCCUCAGAUUUCAUUUAUAUCAGGUGGCACUGGUCGCUUCGAUUUGACUAUUGAACAAAGAUCUAAUUUGCAAAAAACGAUUGAAAAGUGUUUGGCUACCAUUCAGAUGCCUCAAGAGGUUCUUGAUUGCAACCUUACCCCGACUGUUGGUACCAUAUCGUUUGAUCCUGUUAAAAAAAUUCUGACCUGGGAUAUAGGAAAAAUUCAAAAGAUUAUACCAAAUCUGAGAGGAAAUGUAUGUUCAGAUUACUCUUAUGACUGGUGCUUCUGUUCCUGAAGAGUCUGCUGUUAUAAAUCUCGAGUACCGUAUUGGGCAAUAUGCAGUAUCAGGCUUGCGAAUAAAUCGUUUAGAUAUAUACGGCGAAAAAUACAAGCCUUUUAAAGGAGUAAAGUAUGUAACAAAAGCUGGAAAAAUUCAAAUAAGAACAUAAAUUUAUUUAUGAAGUAAACCCGACGACGCAGAUGUUGUUUACGCUGAACUAAAAAAUACAAUAUUGCUCGUAAAUAUUAAAAUGUUACACAUCAUUCUUCAUUCUUGUCGCAUCGUUGCACAUAAAGAUGAAGUAUACCAGAAGAAUAAAACUUUUUACUUAAGUUAUUUUUAUGUGAAUUUUUUUUUAGUAAAAGUCUUACCUUCGUAAAAGUGUUCAGUUUAGCGGUUCGAUAUGCAUUAUUAUGUGUAUAUGUGUUGCGUAUAAUAUAGAAUGUGUGGUUGUGUUUACUGAUAGAAAUUUUAGUAGUAUUCUGUAAUUCAGUUUUUAGGUAUGUUUGGUGUGUUAUAUAUUAGUU